AGGAUAAACGCUGGCGGCGUGCCUAACACAUGCAAGUCGAACGUCUCUUCUUUCGGGAAGAGGAGUGGCGGACGGGUGAGGAACACGUGGGAACCUGCCCUCCAGUGAGGAAUACCGGCGAGAAAUCGCCGACAAGACCGCAUAGCCCUCUCUGGUGAGAGCCAGAGAAGGAAAGCUUCGCAAGAGGCGCUGGAGGAGGGGCCUGCGUCCGAUUAGCUAGUUGGUGGGGUAAGAGCCUACCAAGGCGUCGAUCGGUAGCUGGUCUGAGAGGACGAUCAGCCACACUGGGAUUGAGAACGGCCCAGACUCCUACGGGGGGCAGCAGUGAGGAAUUUUCGGCAAUGGGGGAAACCCUGACCGAGCAACGCCGCGUGCAGGAAGACGGCCUUCGGGUUGUAAACUGCUUUCUUUGGGACGAGCAAGGCGGUACCAGAGGAAUCAGCCCCGGCUCACUACGUGCCAGCAGCCGC
rnacentral:rRNA from 1 species